rnacentral:rRNA from 1 species
AUGACAGGUUCCAAAGUCAGCUGGGCUUCAUCAAUCGUGGGAGAGAUGUCACCACCUCAAAAAAUACAACCACCAUCACAAGAGGUACAAAGACAUCAGAAUGCACACAAUCAGGUUCUUGUUUCCAUGCCACCUUUUCAUGGUCGUUUUAAGCCUGAUUUAUAUAUGGAAUGGGAGUUCGAAAUAAAUGCUAUAUUUGCUUCCCAUUAUUUUUCUGAGCAUGAAAAAUUUAAGGUCGCGGUUGGUACAUUCACUGGUUUUGCUACUGUUUGGUGGAGUGAACAUUGUCAGUUAUACUCUAAUUAUGUACCUACUACUUGGGAUGAUUUAAAACCUGUCAUGAGAGAUAAAUUUGUCAAUGUUUACUAUACUCGUGGCAUGAUUAAAAAACUACAAAAUUUAAAACAAGGUAGUGACACUGUAACAAAAUAUUAUGAUGAUUUACGAAGUACCUUGUUGCACUCCUUGUUAGAGGAAAGUGAAGAUGAUUUGAUGGAUAGAUUUUGGGGAGGUUUAAACUGUGAUAUUCAGGAGAUACAAAUUCAUGAAGAGUAUUAUCCUAUGGACUGUUUGUUUCGUCUUGCUUGCAAAGCUGAACAGAAAGUAAAACGGCGUGUUGUCUAUAAGGAGAAUAGGAGCAAGGUGCACAUUACAAGAGAUGAUACGGUUGUUCCUUCAACUACUAGGCAUACUAUGACAACCACAUCCGUGGUUGUGAGGACUACAUCACCUCCAUCAUGUGACACAUCACCUUCGAGAGUGCCUACAUCAUCCGAGUUGAUCACAAGAGGUAAUGACAAAGGUACCGAUCUUCGACCUCCACAUGAGUAUGAUGAAUGCCUUGUCAAUUUAAAUGAACCAUGCGAUGAGCUACCCACUACUUUGAUCACACCAGCUAUUUUAGAGGACUAUGUUUAUGAUUUGACUUUGCCAUGUGAUCGAACACUUUUGAGUGAACCCAUUGAAUUAACUAUUGAUGCGAAAGAACCAUGUGAAUCCGGGAGUACAUAA